GAGCCGGGCAGGAAGGGCUAAGGGCAGGCCGCUGCGUCCGGCAUCCCGGCUCCGGACGAGGCAGUCACAGCACCAGCGCCCUGGCCUGCGCCCGGCUCCUGGGCGCCCGUCCUGCCGGCCGGCGGGAGGAAGCCGUGCCGGCCUUCGUGCACUUGGUGGGUGCGGGUGCUCGGGUUCUUUUAACUGAGAGCAACUGAGUGCAACAUUUCCAGCUCCCCAGUUCUCACAGAACACUUAUGUACUGGAUGAUCUCACGUUUCAAACCGCACCUCGGUAGAGUGCCUUUCUCAGCAUGGACUCGGCAGCAGGCAGCAUCCUUCUUCUAACAUUUUCACCAGAAAUGAAGAUCAAAAAGCAAGAAAAUACGGCCAAAAAUAGAAGACAAACUUAAAAUGGGAAACACUCACUAAUAUGUUUGAAGACACUAUGGAAUAAUCUAGAACAGAGGACUAAAUAUUUCACUCUAUAAUUAGAUCCGUGCAAUCAUUUUAAUGUCCCUAUUAUGCCAGGAUUUCGCGAGAUGAAUGAUUACGCUGCAGCCGUUGCCUGGAGGAGAUACAGAUAUGCAAACCGCCAUCCAUGCUCUGAGUCCAGCCCACUAUUAAAAAUUUGAAAAUUAUAGAAAAAAUUAUACAAGAUCAAAUAGCCCUCUUUGCGAAGAAGACUCUGAGAUGGAGAGGGAAGAUGCUUGGUGCCACCCCAAAGGCGGCUGCGUUCCAGCGGAGGCUGCAGCGGCCUCUAUAUAUAGAUGAGAAAGAGCCUUGGGCUGACUGGAGAUGAAAAGCACUCUGGAUGUGUAAGUCUCCGAAGAUGGCUACCGACAUAUCCACAAUUCCUUCUUCCCUGUGCAUUCAGUGUGGAGCCUAUGUCCCCUCCCUUGAAGCGAGGCUUUUCUCUUUGACUUGCCAUCACCAAUUAUAUGCUGCAGAAAUGGCCAGGGAGGCCCAGAUCUUAAGGGGACUGGAAGAUUUUUCUGGAAGCCAAGAGCAAAAAGUGAUUAAAGGAGGAAGGAGUAAUCAGUUGUGUCAAAUGCUGCUGAUAGCUCAAGUAGGAUGAGGACCAGGACUCAUCCUUGGAUGCAGCGGUGGGUGGCAGUCAUGACCUGGGUUACAGCAAUCUCUGUGGAGUGUUUGGAGCAAAGUCCUGAUUAAAGUGCACUCAAGGAAAAUGGGAAGAAAUGAGUACAAAUGAGUACAAGUAACUCAUCUCUUCCUGAAAAUCUAAGAGCAGCUGAAGGAAGGAUGAUGAUAUAUGGCAAGAGCAAUUUUUUAAGAUAGCAAAAAUAGUGUUAUCUAAAUCCCAAGUAAAUUGUAAGGUUUAACCUACAAUUUUAAAGACAGUAUGAUCUUAUUGUAAAAACAGGAUUUCUAAAAGUAAGGUUAAUGCUUGGCACAUAGUA